rnacentral:tRNA from 7 species
GCCGCAGUGGUGGAACUGGUAGACACGCAGCGUUCAGGGCGCUGUGACUUUCGGGUCGUGAGAGUUCAAAUCUCUCCUGCGGUACCA